UCGAACGGUAACAGGAAGCAGCUUGCUGCUUCGCUGACGAGUGGCGGACGGGUGAGUAAUGUCUGGGAAACUGCCUGAUGGAGGGGGAUAACUACUGGAAACGGUAGCUAAUACCGCAUAACGUCGCAAGACCAAAGAGGGGGACCUUCGGGCCUCUUGCCAUCGGAUGUGCCCAGAUGGGAUUAGCUUGUUGGUGGGGUAACGGCUCACCAAGGCGACGAUCCCUAGCUGGUCUGAGAGGAUGACCAGCCACACUGGAACUGAGACACGGUCCAGACUCCUACGGGAGGCAGCAGUGGGGAAUAUUGCACAAUGGGCGCAAGCCUGAUGCAGCCAUGCCGCGUGUAUGAAGAAGGCCUUCGGGUUGUAAAGUACUUUCAGCGGGGAGGAAGGGAGUAAAGUUAAUACCUUUGCUCAUUGACGUUACCCGCAGAAGAAGCACCGGCUAACUCCGUGCCAGCAGCCGCGGUAAUACGGAGGGUGCAAGCGUUAAUCGGAAUUACUGGGCGUAAAGCGCACGCAGGCGGUUUGUUAAGUCAGAUGUGAAAUCCCCGGGCUCAACCUGGGAACUGCAU
rnacentral:rRNA from 1 species